CCUACGGGUGGCAGCAGUGAGGAAUAUUGGUCAAUGGGCGAGAGCCUGAACCAGCCAAGUCGCGUGAGGGAGUACUGCCCUAUGGGUUGUAAACCUCUUUUGUCGGGGAGCAAAAGCCGGACGUGUCCGGCUGUGAGAGUACCCUAAGAAAAAGCAUCGGCUAACUCCGUGCCAGCAGCCGCGGUAAUACGGAGGAUGCGAGCGUUAUCCGGAUUUAUUGGGUUUAAAGGGUGCGCAGGCGGAUUUUUAAGUCAGCGGUAAAAUCGUGGGGCUCAACCCCAUCCAGCCGUUGAAACUGGGGAUCUAGAGUGUGCGAGAGGUAUGCGGAAUGCGUGGUGUAGCGGUGAAAUGCAUAGAUAUCACGCAGAACCCCGAUUGCGAAGGCAGCAUACCGGUGCACAACUGACGCUCAGGCACGAAAGCGUGGGUAUCGAACAGGAUUAGAUACCCUUGUAGUC
rnacentral:rRNA from 1 species